rnacentral:rRNA from 1 species
CCUACGGGCGGCAGCAGUCGAGAAUCAUUCACAAUGGGGGAAACCCUGAUGGUGCGACGCCGUGUGGGGGAAUGAAGGUCUUCGGAUUGUAAACCCCUGUCAUGUGGGAGCAAAUUAAAAAGAUAGUACCACAAGAGGAAGAGACGGCUAACUCUGUGCCAGCAGCCGCGGUAAUACAGAGGUCUCAAGCGUUGUUCGGAAUCACUGGGCGUAAGGGGUGCGUAGGCUGUUUCGUAAGUCGUGUGUGAAAGGCGCGGGCUCAACCCGCGGACGGCACAUGAUACUGCGAGACUAGAGUAAUGGAGGGGGAACCGGAAUUCUCGGUGUAGCAGUGAAAUGCGUAGAUAUCGGGAGGAACACUCGUGGCGAAGGCGGGUUCCUGGACAUUAACUGACGCUGAGGCACGAAGGCCAGGGGAGCGAAAGGGAUUAGAUACCCUUGUAGUC